UGAAAUAUUUUUGAACUGGCUGGUCAGUUUUAAGUAUAUUGCUUUUUUGUUCUGUUUUUCAGAAGUUGAUCCAAGAUUCGUUGAAAAGUGAAGAAGAAGAAAAAAAGACAGACCAUGAAGUGGAAGAGUCAGAAAUCAGUAGUCCUGAUGCUAAAGACAAUUUGUGUGACCCUCGUCCUAAUCCACUAGAAAAAUACAUGAAACUGAUACAGCAGAGCAGAGAGCAGGAGCUGACAAACAAGAGCUCCAAAAAAGAGGAAGUGGAAGAAGUAUCACUGAUAGAGAGACUUCUGUCUAGUGAAAAAGAUGACAGUGCUGCAGGCGUCUCUCAUGGAGAACCGGAUGAAGACUUCUGGUGAAUAGCAGCUAUCAUCUCCUAAUGAUCACCACCAUGGAAGAUGGUGUGAAAUUAUGUAAAACAAAUAGUCACUACACCACCAGAACUGAAUAUUUUCAUGCACAAUGGUUUCAGCAGAGGAUCAGAAUUAAAGUUUAACAUGUUCAUAUUAAAAAAAACUAGCCUUUUACAAAGACAUUAUCCCAAAUGAGUAAUUUUAGACAAAUCUACUAUGACUGGUAGUACUAAUAGCUGCUACAACCAUAAGUGCAUGGCCUAACCUUUGUGUUGUAAGCUUUCCCAUAUCUUCACAAAAUAUUCCAGGAGUCACUGCAGCCUGUUGAUCAGAAAGUGUGUUUGUUUUUGUAUUCAUGAAAAAGCUCUGGGCUGUGACUGAAGAGCAAAGGUGCCUAUUCUGUUAGGAUGUAAAGCAGUUCAACAUUUUUUCAGAUAAAAAAUACAAUCCUGCUUUAAGAGAAGAGCUUUUUAAAGAUUAAAUGAUAAAUGAAAAUUCAAACAAAGUAGAUUUGAAAGUGUGUGUCUUUUCCAGCAUGCUUAUAUUGCUAGUUUCACAAAUGGCAUGUCAAGAUGACUAUCUGUGAGACAAGGGCUCAGAUAUGCCAAUUAUGAUUAAAAUUUUUAAUGCAUUCUGAUAGAUACCUGAUAACUAUUUCUUUAAGACCACCUUUAGAUUAGUGUAGUCUUUCACUGGAGAUAACUUGUUUAAGUACUUUUCUAAAGCAGCAGCAAGAGGCAGGGGGAGAGAAAAAUACACUUUAAAAGGUGAGCUUCUUACUGUUUCGCUGCUGGUAUCUUAAGUAUUCCAUAGGAGAGCGUGUACAAGCACGACUGUUGUAAUCCUCUACAUUUUUUUAGGUUUGCAUUUUAUAGACUGUUCUGGUAUUUUAUAAUAAAAUGUCAGCUGUACUCUGUGAAGUUCUCA
rnacentral:lncRNA from 1 species